rnacentral:rRNA from 1 species
AUACAAUUUAUGUUUUUAAUAUGUUUAUUUAAUUGUAGGUUAUUUUUUAUAGGAUUUAUUAUAUUUGUUUUUAGGUGAAAUUUAAAUAUUAAUUAAGUCUUUCUUAUUUUCCUUUUAAAAUCAUUUAUUAAACUAGGAUUAGAUACCCUAUUAUUUUGUUCAUUAAUUUUAUGGGUAGUAUUAGCUAUGUUCUUAAAACCCAAAGAAUUUGGCGGUGUUUUAGUCUAUUUAGAGGAAUUUGCCCCAUAAUCGAUAAUCCUCGUUUUAUCUUGCUUGGUUUAGUUAUCAGUAUGUAUAUCUCCGUUAUAAGUUUAUUUUUAUUGAAUAUUUACUUAAUUAUUAAUUGUGAUUAUUUCA